AUUGAACGCUGGCGGCAGGCCUAACACAUGCAAGUCGAGCGGUUGACGGGAGCUUGCUCCCUGAUUCAGCGGCGGACGGGUGAGUAAUGCCUAGGAAUCUGCCUAUUAGUGGGGGACAACGUUUCGAAAGGAACGCUAAUACCGCAUACGUCCUACGGGAGAAAGCAGGGGACCUUCGGGCCUUGCGCUAAUAGAUGAGCCUAGGUCGGAUUAGCUUGUUGGUGAGGUAAUGGCUCACCAAGGCGACGAUCCGCAACUGGUCUGAGAGGAUGAUCAGUCACACUGGAACUGAGACACGGUCCAGACUCCUACGGGAGGCAGCAGUGGGGAGUAUUGGACAAUGGGCGAAAGCCUGAUCCAGCCAUGCCGCGUGUGUGAAGAAGGUCUUCGGAUUGUAAAGCACUUUAAGUUGGGAGGAAGGGUUGUAGAUUAAUACUCUGCAAUUUUGACGUUACCGACAGAAUAAGCACCGGCUAACUCUGUGCCAGCCGCCGCCGUAAAAC
rnacentral:rRNA from 1 species